GGGGAUGUAGCUCAUUUGGCAGAGCGCGUCAUUAGCACCUCUAAGGUUAAAAUUUGACGAGGUACCGGGUUCAAUUCCCUGCUUCUCCA